GGUUUCGUCCAAAGACACGGCUCUGUCUCCCCGUCCCAGUCCCAUCAAGAGCAGGGCACACUGCCGGCUCAUUCAUUCCCCAGUCCCGGCCAGCGCCGCUCCUUCCCCUCACAUAGCUAGGCGUUGGGCGCACUGCCUCCUCUUCCCGUCGAGCCAGCAGCUUCCGCCGCCCCUCCCCUGUCCCUCUUUGUUUCCCCGGAUUGAGGCUCCGCCGUCCGUCCUCCCUGAUGUGUUGCAGUGCGCCGGCAACUGGUCUUUUGAUGGGAUUUUGCGCCCGGCUCACCUCUCCCCCGCCUCUCUCGUUGACCUGCCGCCGCUCUGGCACGUUCUCCACGCUCGUCGUUGCCUGCUUCGCGCUCGCCCGUCGGGAGCAAAAUCAGCACCGCAAUCAGCCGUAAUGCUCCUCCGCGUGUCCUACACAUAGGGACACACGGUUCUUUGCUAGGAUUAGACAGCGGCGGCAAGGUCCACGCGGUGUCGAUUCACCGGACGGCAGGCAACCACCCGUCUCGUUUAUCCCUUAUCUCACGAUCCUACCCUCCCUCUCGCGCACGACCAGGGAUUCCAACUCCCACGCCUGUUUCCUCUCGACGAGCCGCACGACGCGAACUAUUCCUUCUAGUUCCUCUGUUCCUCACGAACGGGGAGCACUACCGGCGGCCGUGCUCCGCCCCGUCGUCUCCCGUCCGGCGCUGGCCACGCCGCUACCAAGCUCCUCUACGGCCGACCUUAUCUGAUGCGCCCCCCGCGUCGGCUUGUUCGGCAUACACCGACGCCGAAACCAAAUUUCUUCAUACGGUGACGCCGAGGACCGACUUCACGUGUCUCCAGUCGCGCCACCGUCAGUACAGGCUGCAUCAGAGGGGAUCGAUUGGGAAAACUUCAAUUCAUGUGACCGCCGUUGUGGGGCGCCUCGGGUGGCCUGGGACUGGAGCGUGAAACCCACCAUUGGCGGUGCAAAACGAGGAAGAGGCCUGGUUAGUUGCGGGCCUGCGCUGCGGACAGGGCGUCCCUGGGUCGCAGCCGCUCCCUCGGAUGGCGCCGAGGACUCAUGUGGCCGGGCGAUCCCAUGGCGGUGUUAGGCGGGUGAGGCCAGCAGCACCAAUUAGUCAUGCCCGGCGUGCAGAUCGGCGAAUUUCAUGACCGUUUGGGAGGUCAUGGAGGUGCCAAGUCCUGCCGGGCGUGAAGACAGGCGAAUUUCGCGGUUGUUUGGGAACUCAGAGAGGGGUUCGAUCUGUGCCAAAACAGGGACCUUCCUAUUUCGCCUCGCCAAAAAAAAUUUCCAACAAAUCUAAGCUCCAUCAAUUCAGCCUAUGGAUUUUCUUUUGGAAAGAUCGCGCACGGGAGAGCUCGCCCCUGCCUCGAGGCAACAGCUGGCCAUGGGAUUCGGUUGCCAGAGAUCUCAAUCGGGCCGUCAGGUGAUUGAUCCGGGCGCCGGAGUGCUCGAUCUGGUAGCAUCUUCCAGGAUGCAUGCUUCUUUGGGAGAAGCGCGGCCUGCUGGGUGUGACGACGCGAGGCGGCUAUCAGCCAUGAGCAAGAGAAAUCAAUCGAACUUGUCAGGUUUGUUUGGGAAUAGGAGGAGACUAGCAAAAGUGCCCGUGCGUUGCAUCGGGAGAAAAGAAUCCCUGUACAUGCCACUCGAUGCCGCAUUGCCCACACUAAUGCUUAUAUUUCUGUGCCCUAGAUGGUUACAGCUAGAGGCACUCCACACGUCGCCCUUGAGCACAUGAGGAGUCAGCGAGGUGCUUCUCCUAAUACUGGCAUCCCCGAGAGGUGACCCUCGAUUGGUUUGGAGGCGGGCAUAAGGAACCUAGUACUGACGUGGGAGCCCAUGGUCAAGCCUGGAGGUGUUGCCAUAGAAGACAGAGUUCCAUCGGUUCUUGAUAACUUAUGGUGUGGGUUUGCGGCCGGAUAGUUCUUUGUUUUUCACCGAUGUUUCGACUAAUGCGGUAACUCUCUCUCUCUCUCUCUCUCUCUCUCUCAACACGGAUAUUCAAAUAAUAUUCCUUAACAAUUCAUUAAAAACCACUUGAUCAAGAUUUGAACAAGAUUUGAAGUAUACGGAUGUAUUAUGAACGAUUUUUUCUUCCAACAAUGACCGCAGUAAAUUGUGAGGUGUGUUUCAGAUG